rnacentral:rRNA from 1 species
UCACUGACGAGUUUGAUCAUGGCUCAGAGCGAACGCUGGCGGCAGGCUUAACACAUGCAAGUCGAGCGGGCGUAGCAAUACGUCAGCGGCAGACGGGUGAGUAACGCGUGGGAACGUACCUUUUGGUUCGGAACAACACAGGGAAACUUGUGCUAAUACCGGAUAAGCCCUUACGGGGAAAGAUUUAUCGCCGAAAGAUCGGCCCGCGUCUGAUUAGCUAGUUGGUGAGGUAACGGCUCACCAAGGCGACGAUCAGUAGCUGGUCUGAGAGGAUGAUCAGCCACAUUGGGACUGAGACACGGCCCAAACUCCUACGGGAGGCAGCAGUGGGGAAUAUUGGACAAUGGGGGCAACCCUGAUCCAGCCAUGCCGCGUGAGUGAUGAAGGCCCUAGGGUUGUAAAGCUCUUUUGUGCGGGAAGAUAAUGACGGUACCGCAAGAAUAAGCCCCGGCUAACUUCGUG